GCCCAGGGUCAGUGUCAGACUGCUUAGCUGUGCUGUAUUUGGUGACAGACUCUGACCUCUUGGACUCUAGACCUUAUUAUGCCAGUUUCAACUUCUGAUCUGGUUCUACUUCACCCUUACCCCAGUGAUCUCUGUGGACCUUUUUUCUGCUGGUAGUUGUCAGGAAGCCCUGUCUCAAGAGCCCCAUCUCUCUGGAAAACCAGAAUCCAUGACUUUAUACUCUGGCAGCCCUGGAGUUAUGCCUGCUGGCGACAUAUCCAAGGCCUUUUCGCAUUGAUCGUUGUCACGUGCAGGAAGCACGAGGAAGGAGCGACGUCGGGAGUAGACUAUUGGGAAGAGUCUGAUGCACUGCCAGUGUCUGAAAUACACACGUUUUCCUUCUGAUCACCCUGCUUUAUUCCUCAUGACACCAUAGCAGCUUUCUGUGAGCUACAGGCAAUUCAAACACACCGGCGAAAGCAGAGUUGCAUUUGCUAAUCUUUAAUCAGGUUGAACUGUGGAGCCAACUCUCUGCAGCAGCAUCUGCCUUUGCUCGCGGUGCCGAUCUUCAACCCUGAACGCGGUUUGUUACAAGAGAAAAGUCCGUGCCUUUUAAAGAUUAAUUACUAUUUAAAAAUGAUGUAUGUUUUUGUUAAGAUGAUUUUUAUUAUUUUGUGUGCAUGUGUUUAGUAUGUACACAUGUAUGCGGGUGCCUACAGAAUCCAGAAAAGGAUAUUUGGUUCCCUGGAAAUAAGAGUUCCAGGCAGUUGUGAGCUAGCUGAAGUAGGUGCUGGGAACUGAACUUGGUUUCUCUGCAAGAGCAUCAAGCAUCCUUAACCACUGAGUCACCUCUCCAGCCCCUCUCUAUAGGUGAUUGUAUAGUUAUCAGAAUGGAGGGAAAAACCAAAGGAGUCUUCAGAGAGCAGGCAAGGUCCUACAACAGCUGCACAACACUUCUGAAAGCCUUCACUGCCUCAGACCCCAUGGACAGACAGCUGGUCUGUGGUCAGUGCUCCUAGAAGGAGCAUCAGGGAAUUUGCCUGUUCUCUCUUCCGAAGUUCUACAGCCAGCACUUGAACAAAGCUUUCUUGCACUGUUGCCUGCUUUUAAUACAUAUACACAUAUAUAUCACAUUUGCUAUAUUAAAUAUAUAUUACAUUUAUUUGUUUGUGUGGGUGCAUGAGUAGGCGGGAGUCAGUGUUUUCCUUCUGCCACAUCAGAAUUAAAUUCAGGUUGUUAGGCUUGGUGGCAUGUGCCUGUAACCACUGCCAUUUCACUGGCUGGUACUUUCGGUGGUGGGAAGGAAACUGAGCUCUCUGCAACUAAGCAUGUGAUGGCCAGAGGUUGAUGUCCAGGGUCUUCCUCUAUGGCUCUCUGCUUCACUUGGUGAAGACAGGCUUUCUCACUGAGGUUUGCCUCUGGGGCUAAGCUGGCUUGUCACCUACCUCUCAGGAUGUGCUUGUCCCUGUGCCCCAGUGCUGUGAUUACAGACAGAAACGCCAUGCUUGAAGGGAGUGCUGGGGAUUUGAACUCAGAUCCUCAGGCGUGCACAGAAGACAAGCCAUCUUCCCAGCCUCAUAGCUCAUGUUCCCAUAGAGGGUCAGUAGGAGAAAUGAACUAGAAGAUAGGCCAUGUGAAAAAACAAUCCCUGCAUACUUUGGUCGUCUAAUUCCGAGGCCAUCUCUUCAUAUCUACUGCCUUGUACAAUAUUAGUUAUAUUCUGAAUGCCCAUACUAGUUGUCAAUCUUAUUGA